rnacentral:rRNA from 1 species
UACGAAGGGGGCUAGCGUUGUUCGGAAUUACUGGGCGUAAAGCGUGCGCAGGCGGCCUUCCAAGUCAGGGGUGAAAGCCCAGAGCUCAACUCUGGAAUUGCCUUUGAGACUGUGAGGCUUGAGUACGGGAGAGGUGAGUGGAAUUCCCAGUGUAGAGGUGAAAUUCGUAGAUAUUGGGAAGAACACCGGUGGCGAAGGCGGCUAUCUGGACCGUAACUGACGCUGAGGCGCGAAAGCGUGGGGAGCAAACAGG